rnacentral:rRNA from 1 species
CAUCGUCAGCUCAUUUUGUAUAUGUAUGANAUUAUGAUGCGAGUUACUCUNUGUAGUAUUGCUUGUACAUAUUUAUGCAUUUAUUUGCAAGAUGUUGUCGGCGUGCACUUCUCCCCUAGUAGGACGUCGCGACCCGUUGGGUGUCGGUCUACGACCCAGGU